rnacentral:sRNA from 1 species
UCGAUCUGCUGUGGGCAAAUGAAAUGCACAUGGGAGUCGAUGCCGCCGGCGGUGAGGAUCAUGCCUUCCCCGGCAAUCACUUCGGUGCUGGCGCCGAUGGCCAUGGUCACGCCGGGCUGGAUGUCCGGGUUGCCGGCUUUGCCAAUCGCGUGGAUGCGGCCAUUCUUCAAGCCGACGUCGGCCUUGACGAUGCCCCAGUGGUCGAUGAUCAAUGCAUUGGUGAUCAGCGUGUCGACCACUUCAUGGGCGAGCAAUUGGCUCUGGCCCUGGCCGUCGCG